CUGGCCUGCAGGGCUCCCCGCCUCGGCUUCAAAGGCUGGAGAGACAGCCACUCAGGGAGCCCCCCAGUACAUAGUUGUAUGUUCUAGUUGUGAGUGCCUCUGGCUGUGCUGUGUGGGAUGCUGCCUCAAGGUGGCCUGACGAGCAAUGUCAUGUCGCGCCCAGGAUCCGAACCAGCGAAACCCUGGGCCGCUGAAGCGGAGCGAGUGAACCUAACCACUGGGCCACGGGGCCGGGCCCCUCCUGGCUCAUUUUUGAAGACCUGGCUUGAGUUCUCCCAUUUCCAAGGAUCGACUCUGGAUUACUCAACUCACAUUAUUUUUCUCUUUCCUUUUAAUCCUUCAGUCGAGAGGAAAUCGCAGAAACUCUUUCAUAAAUCUCUUUUGUUUCAUACUGAUGGAGUCUCAGAAUAACUUUCGUUUCGUGAUACUCGGAUUCCAGACGCGAUAAAAGUUUGAUGUCUAACGAAACAAGGUUUUUGGUUCUGUUCCGGCAUCCACGUCUGCCUUGAUCACAGCUGCGGCUCUGGGCCUGCGUUUCAAGUCAGCUGUGCGUUUGCUGGGCUAACGUGCGCAUCCAACUUCGGAAAGAUGGAUGACGUUUCCUUACAGUCUGGCCUGAACACGUUACCCACCAUGCAUUUCCCCUUGAGUUGGAGCGAGCGGUGACACUACGGGGACACGCUGUCUCUGUGCUGUCCUAGAGGAGACAGCUCAAGGACAGCAACCUGUGCAGGGGUGAGUGCCCUUUGCCACCUGUGUCUGUUGCAGCAGUCACGUGCCCAGUUCUGGCCUCCAGAGUUGGCGGUCUCACCUUUUCUAGCCCAGAAGUCAAUGGGCCAGAGCUCCGAGGGGCCAGAAGAUCGUGGCCCCAGACCUUCCUGGAGUCCUCCCCAAGCCCUGCGCCUUCUGCAGCAGACCCAGAGAGGCCCUUUGCACACACAGGAAUGCCACAUCUGUCACCUCGGCUUUGAGGGGCGCACUGCAAGACUUGUCGUGUCCUUCCCCUCACGCUCUCCUGUUAAAUAAAUCGGUGGUCGUGCUUGCCCUGCUGCCAUCUCAGACCUUCCUGAUGGAGACCCGUGGAGACUCACGUCUGUUCGUCACACCAGCCCAG
ensembl:lncRNA